UGGGGAAUAUUGGACAAUGGGCGAAAGCCUGAUCCAGCCAUGCCGCGUGUGUGAAGAAGGUCUUCGGAUUGUAAAGCACUUUAAGUUGGGAGGAAGGGCAGUUACCUAAUACGUGAUUGUUUUGACGUUACCGACAGAAUAAGCACCGGCUAACUCUGUGCCAGCAGACGCGGUAAUACAGCGGGUGCACGCGUUAAUCGGAAUUACUGGGCGUAAAGCGCGCGUAGGUGGUUUGUUAAGUUGGAUGUGAAAUCCCCGGGCUCAACCUGGGAACUGCAUUCAAAACUGACUGACUAGAGUAUGGUAGAGGGUGGUGGAAUUUCCUGUGUAGCGGUGAAAUGCGUAGAUAUAGGAAGCAACACCAGUGGUGAAGGCGACCACCUGGACUAAUACUUACACUGAGGUGCGAAAGCGUGGGGAGCAAACA
rnacentral:rRNA from 1 species